UUGUCUCAAAGAUUAAGCCAUGCAUGUCUCAGUACAAGCCGAAUUAAGGUGAAACCGCGAAAGGCUCAUUAAAUCAGUUAUGGUUCCUUAGAUCGUACCCACAUUUACUUGGAUAACUGUGGUAAUUCUAGAGCUAAUACAUGCAAACAGAGCUCCGACCGGAGACGGGAGGAGUGCUUUUAUUAGAUCAAAACCAAUCGGCGGCGGGCGCGCUCGCGCGUCCGUUCGCCGCUCAACCUGGUGACUCUGAAUAACUUUCCGCUGAUCGCACGGUCUCGCACCGGCGACGCAUCUUUCAAAUGUCUGCCUUAUCAACUGUCGAUGGUAGGUUCUGCGCCUACCAUGGUCGUAACGGGUAACGGGGAAUCAGGGUUCGAUUCCGGAGAGGGAGCCUGAGAAACGGCUACCACAUCCAAGGAAGGCAGCAGGCGCGCAAAUUACCCACUCCCGGCACGGGGAGGUAGUGACGAAAAAUAACGAUACGGGACUCAUCCGAGGCCCCGUAAUCGGAAUGAGUACACUUUAAAUCCUUUAACGAGGAUCAAUUGGAGGGCAAGUCUGGUGCCAGCAGCCGCGGUAACUCCAGCUCCAAUAGCGUA
rnacentral:rRNA from 1 species